GACCUGAGUGACGGGAGGGAGGGAGCUUUAUGAACACUGAAGCCAGCAUGUGCCAGGCAGAGGGACCGGCAAGUGCAAAGGCCCCGAGUUGCAGGCAGAGCGGCCAGGCUGGGGCUGCAGCCACGAGGGGGCACUGUUGCCCCGCAGCUGCGUCAGAACUCAUCCACAAAGCUGGAAGGUGCUUCUGUCCCACCAGCUUGCAGAGCGGCAGGCGAGGAGAAUGCCUGUCUCACAAAGCUAUGGAAGCUAAACGAGGGGAACGUCAGUGGCCCCAUCCCACACCCGGGACCUGCUGGGGCCGCUCUGAUACCUCCUGCGAUGGGUGCUCACUGCCUCCAGCCAGGCUGCCCAGCCCUUGGCGGGAAAAGCUCUGCCUGGAGACAGGGCUUUGCAGUGGACCCAGUCUAUUUUGCAGAAGCCAUAAGGUGCUGUGGGGCAACGGGGUCUUCCAAAUGAAAAACGUUGAGAAGAACAGAUUUACCUUGGGAACCAUAAGAAAGAAGCAGUUUGGGGUUUCCAGAGCAGCCCAAAACCUAAAAGGGCACGUGAAAUUCCUCAGUGUUGACAUGUUGGCUCAAAACUUUUCUAAAUAUUGUGCCCAAGCCAAGCAAUGACCCACUUGAGCCUACAGCCCACAGGAUGGGAUGCUGGUUUUGGGUGUAGCUCAGUGACUCAGAGAAAGCAGAACCCUUAGCGCCCGUGUGCAGAACAGCCGGCAAGCAAGCGCGGCACGCCCCUCCACUUGGCACAUCUCAGGAAGUGGGAUGAUUGAUGGGGACGCACAGGCUUUCUGGAGGGCAGCCUGAAAAAAUGGGGUCAAAACUGGAGUACAGACACCCAUGAUCAGCAGUUCGCUCCUUGGUUGCAUGUCCAGGGAAGUCCACAAAUGGGCCCCCUUCUCUGCAGCAGAGUCUGUGGGGUGCGUACCUGGGAGCAGCCUGGACACGUGAUCCCAGGGAAAGUGUGGGGUGCCCCUCGGAGGACUCCGUAGCAGGCACCAGCAACAGACAAGAUGUGCGCCAACAGGAAGGAACACUUAACACUGCUGACUACACAAUCAGGGAGCCGAGUGGCAUCCGUAACACCAGGCUGCAAAGCAACUGCAAAUAUGUGCACCAAAGAGUGCACUGCAGCGAGUGGGGAGGAAGAGAAACUUCACAGUGGAGAGACCCAAUCAGCACGACCUCAGCCAGAUGGGCAACGCCAGCAUCACAAGGGAUGCCUCAUGUUGACAGCAGCUGCCCUCCAUUGGAUGUGCUGAUCAGGGCACUUUACCUCUGUGAUCUUCCUCCCCAGACCCACAAUCCCAGUCUAAUCAUGAGAAAAGUGUCAGACAAACCCCAGUAGCGGGCAUCCUACGAUGUAUCGGGCCAGUCCUCCUCAACUGUCAAAAUCGUCAAAACCAAGGCAAGAGCCAGGCAUGGCGGCGUGUACCUGUAGUCCCAGCACUUU